rnacentral:lncRNA from 1 species
GGAUUUGAAGUAUCUUCUCAACGCCAGCGUGAUUGGACUGAUAUUGGCGAAGAAAUUUUUCUGGUGAGCUCCAUUGUGACAGUAUUACCAGUGGUCGCAGGCGCUCUCUUGGUUUCGAUUCCGAUGAGUCUCCAGUGAGAUUCACUGAAAAUAGUGUAAUGAGACCUCUUUUCUCCCUCUCUCUCUUUCGAUUAAUCUUUCCCUCUUAUCUCUCUGCUUUUCUCCAAGCUCCCUCGAUCUCUCCCUCUCGCUCAAUUCUCUCUUUCUAUUUGGUUCCCUCUCUCUCCCUAAUUGUGUGGUGUGAGACGAUUGAAGGAGUGGUGUUACUGUGUGUUUUCUCGGAGAAGAAAAAAAAGGAGCAAAAAUGGAGGUGUUUUCCUCCUCUAUUUUUC